AUGGGUGUGUGUGGACGGGCAGGGAUGCCUCCCACAUUCAGUGCUGGAGAGCGCAUCCUCUCUGUGGAAUACAGACAGACCCCCCCCCAGCACCCAUUUGUGCUGGAUUUGGGCUGUGCACCUUCCAGGAGGUGCUUUGUCCCCCCCCCCCCAAGGUGGCCGUUCCUGGGCACGACCUCCCUCCCCGGGAGGAAAUACCUGCGAGUCAAUGGCCGGGAGAGCCCGGUCUCGUCCUAUGCACAGAAAAUGGAGCCUCGCCAUCGAAAUAGAACAUGCAAAGGGUUUGGGUGGGGAAUGGCUGAUGAAAUCGGCACUCGGGGGGGGGGGGGGGGCUUGAAUGUGUUCAAGGUUCAAAGGCUCGGCAGAAUCAUCAUGAAUGUAUUUCUCUCCUCCUGUGCUUGCAAAGCAUCUUGCAAUUUGUACUGCAAUUGGGCUCUGAAAUGGCUUCUUCUGCAGCUGCAGACCAGGCCCAUUUUGUGUCGUCUUUCAUGGCCGGGAUCACUGGGUUGCUGUGAGUUUUCUGGGCUGUCUGGCCAUGUGCAUUAUAGGAGAUUGGGAUUGUACUCCCUGUGUGGACAGUCCAUUUCAGUGUCCUUCUGGUGUUCCUUUCCUUCUUGUCCCAGCCUACAUGUUUCUUCCCUAACCUUGUCCUCUUUACGUAUGGCGACAGAGGCGGCCCAACCGCUGGGCGAAGAAAGCAUUUGCCUGUGGCGCCAUCGUCCCGGGGGCGCAGUUGAGCCCCCAGGAGGAUGGCGCCACCCCUGCCUCUUUCUCCUUUGGCCUGGGCACGAAGGAGAAGGCCCAUCCAGGGUGGCUGGGCCUUCCCGGCGUGGCUGCUCGACGCGGGAAGCGGGACCAGGUCUGGCCACGCCUCCCGCAUCGCGCAGCCACGCCUCCCGCAGCGCGGGGUGUGUGUGUCAAAAUUCAUUUUGCCUACUAAGGCAAAAUAUCUAUGGACACCUCUGUAUGGCCACCACCAUUCUUAGUCAGUACAGUACGUUCCAGGACCACCUGCGAUAA
rnacentral:lncRNA from 1 species